AAUUAUAUAGUUUAAUAAAAACUUUAUAAUUUCAUUAUAAUAAUAAUAAUAAUAAUUC
rnacentral:tRNA from 1 species